rnacentral:rRNA from 1 species
GAUGAACGCUGGCUGUGUGCCUAAUACAUGCAUGUCGAGCGAAGCACUUUUGUGCUUAGCGGCGAAUGGGUGAGUAACACGUACUUAACCUACCCCUAGGAUUGGGACAACAGUUGGAAACGACUGCUAAUACCGAAUACGCUAUUUGGAGGCAUCUCCGAAUAAUGAAAGGACCGUUUGGUCCGCCAAGGGAUGGGAGUGCGGUACAUUAGGUAGUUGGUAGGGUAAUGGCCUACCAAGCCGAUGAUGUAUAGCGGGGUUGAGAAGCUGAUCCGCCACAAUGGGACUGAGAUACGGCCCAUACUUCUACGGAAGGCAGCAGUAGGGAAUUUUCCACAAUGAGCGAAAGCUUGAUGGAGCGACACAGCGUGCAGGAUGAAGCCCUUCGGGGUGUAAACUGCUGUUAUAAGGGAAGAAAAAACCAGAUUAGGAAAUGAGUCUGGCUUGACGGUACCUUAUCAGAAAGCACCGGCAAACUAUGUGCCAGCAGCCG